AACGAACGCUGGCGGCAGGCUUAACACAUGCAAGUCGAGCGCCCCGCAAGGGGAGCGGCAGACGGGUGAGUAACGCGUGGGAAUCUACCCAUCUCUACGGAAUAACGCAUGGAAACGUGUGCUAAUACUGUAUACGUCCUUCGGGAGAAAGAUUUAUCGGAGAUUGAUGAGCCCGCGUUGGAUUAGCUAGUUGGUGGGGUAGAGGCCUACCAAGGCGACGAGCCAUAGCUGGUCUGAGAGGAUGAUCAGCCACACUGGGACUGAGACACGGACCAGACUCCUACGGGAGGCAGCAGUGGGGAAUAUAGGACGAUGGGCGCAAGCCUGAUCCAGCCAUGCCGCGUGAGUGAUGAAGGCCCUAGGGUUGUAAAGCUCUUUCACCGGUGAAGAUAAUGACGGUAACCGGAGAAGAAGCCCCGGCUAACUUCGUGCCAGCCGCCGCAGUAACAC
rnacentral:rRNA from 1 species